AAGACGGAAAAGAUGAUUAUCAAUAAUCAUGAUCAUAAUCUCUCCUGACACAUUAGUCUUCGCUGUACAUUGAAUAUGUAACUUAUUUUCAUAUGGGUAGAAAAUAUUUUUUUUUGCCGAAAAAACGGCUGUGAAAAAAAACACAGGGGAGGGACCGAUACCUUACUCUCGAUGGAGGGGGCGCGCCCACGGCUCGGCUUUAUGCUUCUACCUCUACACUACUCUUGUUCUUGUAUGAAGAGAAGUGUAGAAGACUUGUGAAGCACUCCAGGUGGGGCACGUCCUAUGACGGAGGAUGAAUCACAGCCGCGUCAGAGCCCGAUGGCACAUUCUCUGUGAAAUAUGUUAUGUACCUGUUAAUGCUGAUAUGAAAACCAAGCAGUAGUCCCAAUGCUAGCCACCAAAUGAAUGGGGAUUUAAGAUAGCUAUUAGCCCUAAACUAGCCUUAGACUAUUACAACCUCUGAAUGCUAAAUUAAGCAAACUGGCAGCUGGCUCCAAUUAUUUGUUAACAAUUUCUAAUGUAAAUUGAAAAUGUUGAUAAACAUAAGGAGGAUAACCGAUCAUUUUUCUCUACUUGUGCGCAUCCCGAAAAACUAUACGAGAAUAUACAACACACAGCAACACAGCGUAGCUUACCGAUUACAGUGUGAGAUAAAAAGGAAACAACGGGACUGAAAAAUCAUCCCACUUUCUGGAAUUCAGCGUUGUGACACCAUUUUAAUUGGCUUGUGAGAGGUGUAAUCACACAAUGCUACUUGAUGGUACAGGUCACCACCUUCUAUAAGACAAAUAUGAAAAAAACAUAUUCAACAAACUCAUGACUAUCCUUUUUUAUCUCAGUCCUCAAUUAGAAUGUCUGCGCGUCUGAAUUCACCUCCCUGUUUCGAGAAGGAUCCUAAAAUAUUCAAAGCUCUGUUGAAAUUCUUGCUCCAAAUCCACAGUUCUCACAAGCUAAAUUAACUGCGGCGGAUCCGCCCCGUCCAUUUCGAUUGUUUAGUCGUAAUGGCGGCGUAUUAACGAACGCUCUGGCAGAAGAGAGGAAGAGACGAGUAGAAGAUAGUUUCCAAAGGGCCCUGUUUUAUUAAUGCUAACACAGUGACUGGGCAGAGGGAUCGGCCUCCUUCAAGCAUACAUAAUUACUGUAGGAAAUGGCAUUGCAGAGGGAGAAAGGUCCAGACAGGUGCACCGAGGUGAACAGCACUGGGGAAACGAGGCUCCAUUAAGUUUGUCAUCAGCAUUAUGCCACCCGAGGUCACGGCGGAAGAUGACACUCCCUUUUUAUUUCCACCUUUCCCCCCUUCUCACUGUUGCAUAAUUGUUUGCGUUUCUCCAUCUCGUAUUCUAAUCCAUCUCUCCGUCCUCCCAUUGUUUCUAUUUUUAAAAGCCCUUCCAUCCGUAAAGCAGAUUUAAAGUGGAACGGAGAGUGCGCGGGCCAUCUCUCUUCCCCAAUUUUGUGUUUAAUAUGCACGGCUCUCACCAUUAAGGCAAACGGAGCUCUGUGCUCCCUGUGUGCCUCCAAUCCGUCUCUCUGCCUACACAAUAAGGAAUAAUUUAAAUCAAAGCCUCUCUUUCCGAGAGGACCCAAAUUCAUCUGAUAAUCCGAAGGAAGGGAAAUUUAAUUAUGUAUGAAGCGGCGUCGGACUUUAAAAGGAAAUACAGUAGUAUCGCUCUGAUAUGCGACACGGUUUUAGGAUGAUUCAAAUAAGUGCGUAUGGCGGUCGACAAAUUUAAUUUUGUUCAAUUUCGUGAAAGAACUAUUCAUUUCUGCAUUAGGCUGUGCAUGUUGAGAUAGUGUGAUUGCAUUGAUAUAGGCAUUCAAAAUAAAUAGUUGAAAUUUUCAACGCAUAUUGUGUGGGAUACAACAUUUAAGUUUAAGAUGAAAUAAACUAGUUCAGCAUGAACCGAGAUUUACCAAAACACACUGGUAGACAUUAGAUUAUCCAAAAAUGUCCAUGGUGAUACACUUCAUUAAAAGCUGUUCUUAAACCCAUAGUUGGGCUUUUCAUCGACAAAUUGUCCCCACUAUGCACCAGGACUAAAUAUCAGUCAUAGAGAUCUUCAUAUUAACUGGGAGUUUUCCCAGACAGACAAUUUCUAAUACUGCAAAAUUCAAGAACUUUCAUCAAUGGGCCAUGAACACAAGCACCUUUCCGUUCCCUCAAUCGGUGAUACAUAUUCACUCAACAGACAUCCAUUUAAGCUACUGUACAUUACAUUCUUUCUUCGUCUUAAAGCGGCAAAAAUGUUAACAUAACACUGACUCAUUAGCGUGUGGCAAAUCUGCUGGCAGACAAGUGUACACAUCCAACAUUAUCGUUAAUAUGGAGCUCAACCUUCCAAUCUUCUAAUAUUCACUCUCCUUUCAGCUGCGCCUUGCAUUCCACCCACCCCCGAUGGUACCACACGGGUGUUAUAAGCGCUAAAUUCUCCUGUGCCCAUUGAUACAACUGAACAGCCAAGAACAUGGCUCCUGAGCCAUGCGACUAAAACAAAGUGGCUGUAUACGCCACUGCACAAAGCACAGUGGGAGGAAUACAAACUGACCAAAGGAUAUUCUGAAGGAUGGGAAUGAAUGCAGGUACCGUUAUUUACAUUUUCUAAUUAGGUAUCGUAAAUACAUCAAAAAUGUAUUUAAAUUGGACACCAUAUUUUUUUUUUUUUGGGAUAAAUGAUCUGCACGUCUGUCUUUAAAGUCAAUUGUAAUUAAAGAAAACAUUCCAGAGAAAAGAGUGAGUAAAACUAAAAUAAUGCAACAACAACAAAUGUACGUGAUUCCUUGACGAGAACUCUGUUAGUGCCAAAGAACAGACAGAACGUGUGAGGAAAGGUCAAAUAGAGUGAGGAAAGACAGAAAGAUGAAUAGACAGAGAUGUUGGUCCAGAGAGAGACGGAGAGUGAGCAGGAGAUAAUAAAUUAUUGUAAAUGAUGCUUUAUUGCUGUGUGGAGUGCAGCCCUCAGCAUUCUGUAAACUGAUGAGCCGUAGAAGAUGGUUUGCGCGUGUGUGCGUUUGUGUGUGUUCCUCUGAGAGAAGGCAGGAUUCACAUUUAUCCUUCAGCCCCUGUAGACUUCUGUCCUGCCUACUACAAUUACUUUGCCGUUUUGUUUCAUUGUGUGUGUGUGUGUGUGUGUUUGAACUUGUUCCUGUCUGCAAAAUGGUUUUCCAUUAACCGUUAAUUGAACCUAUAAUAUUUUACAAUCAACAAUCAACGUGCAUUUUCUUCCACGGAGGGGGGCUAACACACAUGCUUUCUCAUUCUGUCCUUGAAAUGUACCCAUUAUAGGCUGUUAUAGUACUGCCAAUGUUUAUUAAAAAUAUAUAAUCCAGUGUCUUUUCAGGAUAGACAUGGGCUUGUCUUCAUACUAUAACUUCUCUCUGCAGCAAACUGCAACCAUGCAAACAAAUCUGUGCUCAGCUGCAUGGAAAGUGUGUAGUUAGGACUGACUGCUAUGUAAUAUAUUAAUAGGAUUAUUAUAAUUCAAUGUGGAAAAAGUCACAAAUUAAUACACCAGAGUCUGACUUUGGGGCAUACUUCAAGUUCAGCUAUGAUCUUGAUUUUUUUUUUCAUGAGCUUUUUGAUGUCAGAAGACUAAUUCAUGGACAUAGUAACAAAAAUGUCUGAAGGGCAGGGACAUCCCGCCUGCCUUUUCCUUAUUCCCUAAAGUGUCAAACUAGUAAGAAUGUGGAGGCUCCACCAAGCUGACCGCUAUCUUCAUAACAACAGCUGAUAAGACGUUAAACUUCUAACUCCAGAUAGCUUUACUUGCUCAAAUCAUCCUUGCAUUUGGAAUGCUGCUUCUCUCAAAACCAAAAUCCUUUAAUUGUUGAGCAGCACAAAUGCAUCUUUUUAAAGGCAAAAAGUCUCCCAUUGGACUCUACUGGGGGGAAGUUAGGAGGUAGGUGUUUUGCUGAGGGACAUUUUGACACAGGUCAUGCAGCAACCGGGAUUUGAACUGCCAACCCUGCUGUGUAACAGUAAACCCUCUCUACUCCAUGCGCCUGUCAUCACUGGAUGGAAUUCUGCUGCAGCAUUUUUGCUGGCCGAUCUCAUAUCAUAUCUUAAAUCGUAAGCUACGCAGACUCCUUUCUACGUCGGGCAAAGAGGAUAAAUCACUUUUAGAGUUGCCUUUACCUCCAGAGGCCGCGCAGGCACCCACACACACAUACACACACACACACACACACACACAGAGUGGAUAAGUGAGCAGACAUCAGCCUCGCAUGCCCUCUGUUCACAGCUAUCUGUUAUGCUUGUUAGUGUGUGUGUGUGUGUGUGUGUGUGUGUGUGUGUGUGUGUGUGUGUGUGUGUGUGUGUGUGUGUGUGUGUGUGUGCUCCCAUAGUGUUCCUGAUGGCUUUGUGGACGCUGGGACAGGACCCAGGAUGAUUUCACUGGAUUAUAUUACUUCUGUGACAGUUGGACACUUUGGACUAGAUGUUGAGGACGAGAUUGAGCCUCUCUGGGAGCCUAAAACAAAAAGUUACAAGUGCUUUAGUCUAGGAUGUUACCAGAGUUCUCGUUUCCUUCACGGGACAAAAACAAACGUGUUGGAGAGAUAUAAGGCAAUGUUUUUGACAAAAGGAAAAUGAAUAUCACUAACAACGAUAAAUAAAUAAAUGUGAUGGAUAAAAAAAAAACAGAAAGCGGGCAGGCUGAGUGUAGCUCGUUACGGGACUAGAAAGUGCUGUGGCUGCACACACAAAAACCGGCUGUAACAGGUUGGUCCUCUGGGGGGGGUCUUGGAAUGACGGGCACGAGGCAGUCGGGUCCAUUGUAAAUGUUUUUAUUUAUAUUUUCACACACACACCGCCACCGCCACCGCCACCGCCACCGGCUCCAGCCUCCUCGCCUCGCCCCCUCGCCGGAUCUCUCCUACUUAACAGCAGAAUACUGAUUGCUGAUUAAUAUCAGCUGAGGCCAAUUGCCUCCCCCGGCACCGUUCCCUGAACCACUCCCUUCUCAGUCCCCCCUGCAGCCGAGACAAACCACGCCCGCCACUACACCGGCCUUAUUGCUAAAGGUUUUAGUGAUGGAUGUCAUGUGAUCAGAGGAUGGCUUUCAGCUCGUCAUCAUCGGAAGACACAAUAGCUGAGUGAUAGCAAUAAAUAGGUGCACAAUAUGACCUACGGGAUGCCAUUUUCAAAUUAAAUUACUUAAAAAAGUAAAAUCAAGUUCAAUGUUGAUGGUGUUGGAGGCUCACAAAGAUGACAUUUAUUCUGCCAUUUGUCAAUCCUUUCCAAAUCAAUACAAAACAUUUUUGACAUUUAUAGCAAAGCCAAUUCCUUUUUUCAGUAAUACUAAAUUUUUACUUAGUAAUAUAUUUAUUUCCAAGUAUGAACUAUUUUUUUUUUUUUACAGAAUCCUACAAAUGUCUGUUUGAGCUUCUCGUUAAAGUAGGGACGAGGUGGAUUUAAUUGGUUAUCAAAUAUAAACAAAAAAUGUAUUUCUUUCCAUUUAAGCGAAGUAAACAGCAUGCUGGCAACGUACAUGUUUAUCUAAAACAAUAUCCCACCUCGUGGAAGGGCCAUAUAUGGAUGAUCUAGGAAUUCUUUAUUUUCGUCAGUGAUCAUUUGCUGCCGCGAUGACAAAGACGACACCGGCCUAAACUUAAACGUGAACAAAAAACAGCGGCCAUGUCAAAUUUCACUAUUUAAAUGACAGAAAGACAAAUAUUUUUCAAUAAAUAUCUCACACAGCACUAAUUCAUGGCAGCAUUUGAAAAAGCGAUGCAACUUUGAACGACACAUCUUAUACGUCUUUUGGUCGAACCCAAGCUGCACUACGUGCUCCAACCUGCUCCUGUAUGCUUCACCUCAGCACGGCCACUGUGGACUUAUGGAAGAGGCUUUCCCAAGUCAAACUAAAUGAAAUUAAAUACAGCACAAACUGGGUUUCCUUUAGCAUGAAACCACAUUCCUGCUUUAUUGUGCGCUUUGAAAAAUCUAUUUUAGCUUGUUGCUUCUUAUCCUGACCUCAUUUACACCCACUGGUGCCAAAGUUUGCUCCCGCCUUGGCCGACGGAGUUGUUUACUACUUGGAAAUGCCACUCAACGUGAGAGGAGGCGGCGUGACCCCACCGCCCUGUCUGUGCUGGGAGCCGACCAAGUUCAUCUUCCAACACGCACACACAGAGUCUUAAAAUCUUGAGACACAAUGGUUUAGACAGAGUUGACCCUUUAAGGAGCUGCUAAAAAAAAAUACGAGACACACACAGGCUUGCACAAACACAACGACACGUGUUUCCGGACACCAGGGAGCAUGCGCUGUGGAUGUUGACGCUGUUAAAUCCCUUUGGCACAGAACUCCCUUCUGAGGUUAACUCAACCUGACGAAGAAACAGGUCAAGUCAAAAUAGCACAGCAAGUAUUUGAGAAAAACAUUUUUGGAAACGCACGUUUGUUUUCUUAGUACGGUCACUAUCAUCAAUCAGUCACGUUUAGGCCGAGUAGAUGAGGCUUUCAGGUGACUUAAAAACCCUCAAAAGAAUGUUUGUGCAGAGUGUAUCAGACACUUUUUUCAGGUCUCAGCAUUACUGCAAUAUGGUCUGCACAUUGUGAGUUUCUCAGAAACUCCGCGUGUGACGUUGUUGGGAAACCGGUGAGCUAAACUUAAAGAGUUUUUUACAGCUGGAACCGAUGUAUGCUUUUCCUAAUGUCUGUCACAUUAAGGGAGGGACAAGGUGUUUUCCUACGACAUCUGGGUUUCCUACUGAAAUUCCCUUGUGCAGGGGUGUCUUCUGAUUGGACAACACAAACCUCUCUGAUGUGUAUUAAAGCUUCUAUUCUCUCCAAGAUGCUUGGUCAGAUCUUCCUGCUCCUCUGAGGAAGAAAGAACAAUCUGUCCCUUUUCAGCUGAAUUGAGUCAUUUGACUUCUGUCUGUACAUACGGCUUGUGUUGAUGAUUUCUGUAUUCUUUAUGAUUUUCCAGUUAGUAAUAAAUGCUAAAUAAUUUUCAUUUCUCACAAGGGCUUAAUCCACAAAUUUCCACCACACUUUACAAUUUAGUUUUUCACUUUAAGUGUGUUCUACAAAAUUAUUAAGUGCAGUGUGUGUAUGUGGUUCAGGCCUGGAGGCCAGAGUCAAGCUCAUGCGGAUUAGAGUGAAGGUUGGCCCCAAAGUUAGCCCUCAGGUCUGCCUUAGGGACACUUAAGGCGAGUUGGCAUUCAAGACAGACUAGCUGGUGUCAUUUCAGUGACUGGUCGCUCGAAAUAGGCGUGUCGAAAUGAUUACUAUCAGCAACGUUUUUGCCAACACAAUGUCAAAAUAGCACAGCAGAGUAUUCACUAAAAUGAGACCCCCUUUGGUUUACAACGGCUUCUGGUUCAAUUGUUUUAUUUCUUAAAAUAAUUUGAUGUACUUUUAUUCCAUUCCAAUCCCAAUUUCAGACCAUUUAAAAUAAAAAUGUCUUUGCUGUUUUCAAGGAUUAACUUGAAUUAUUGUGCUUUCCAUGUUAUGAUAUCAGCAACAAAAACAACUAUUCAUUUUUAAUUAAGACCUCUUAAGUCACAAUAAUCGCAAAUUUUUCAGUUUUUGGAACACCAACACCUGCUAUCCUUAAUAUAUGCUUUUUAUGUUAUGUCCCAUAUGUAAAUAACAGAGCUUAAAGGGGUAGAUAGGGACAGAGGAUGAUAGAGAGAGGAUUGGCCUUAAGUUAAUUAAAGUUAAUAAGGUUAAUUUAUUUUUCAACCCCAGUCACCUUACAAUCCCCGACUGUAAAGGAAUUAGCCUCAUGUAUCCCUGUUUCAUCACACGCACACACACAUUUUGUGGUGUAGAGACACACACUUUGUUCAGUGGACACGCAAUAAAAUCCCAAUCUUUAACCAAUUUCUCCUAGAAAUAUCCUCGUGGUAAUCUCCGGCUGAUAUUUCGGCUGUAUUCGGACAUUAAACACAACCUCAGUAGCCAAUCAGCAGUCAGCAGUGUGACACUUUGUCUCGUCUCUGUUGCUCUGUUGUUAGCUUGGAGCAAUGGUGCCAUUUCAUUCAAUGCAUUCAUGGAUUUAACAUCUUCCUCCCCACUUAUAUGCUGUUUAAAACUAUAUAUAUACAUAUUAAAACACUUUGUUAGCCACAGUAUAUCUGUGUUAGUGUGGUGUAGUGACUAAAGAGUCCUUGGUUGUAUAUAAUAUAUAUUGUAUAUCUAUAUGGAUAUAUUGUAUAUACAUAUUUUGUCACUGUAUGUAGACAAGUGAAUAUAUAUAUACAACCAAGGACUACUUUGUCACUACACCACACUACCACAGAUACACUGUGGCUACCAAAGUGUUUAAUUCCCACUCUGUUCAUCACUAGUGCAACAACAAUCCAUUCGUCAGCUCCACAGAAGCCUUUUACCUUACUCCUCCCUGAGGGCUGCUUUUCGAACAAACUGCAGUUCUAUAAUGCUGCAGACAGUCUUUGAGGCCAUUAUAAUGGUUUCCGUUGUGUAAUGCAUCAAUGUUCUGAAGGCCUUUUUGCACGCUUGCACGUUUGUGAGACUUUUAUCGCUUAAGUUUGUUGAUAAGUUUCUUAAUAGUGUUCCAAGCCCACGCAUCUAUUGAAACAGGAUGAGGUUUUCCUGAUUAGUUAAACAGCUUGAAAAGCAGUUUGUGUUUGUAUAGCUGUGUCUCAAAGUCGCUAGGCUGCAUCCUUGUGUCCUGGAGCCUUCAGCAGCCUUCGCGGUAGACCUGGGCUGGUCCUCCAACAACCGCAUAGGCUGAACCGAGGGGUCGUAAUUAUUUACUUAUUUAUAAUUACUUUCAUCUAAAAGUAAUAUUGCAAUCUUACGGCAGAGGAGAUUCCAUCAAUGUUGUUGAUAAAAACCACAACAGCAAACAGAUUUAUUAACUUGUUAGCAAGGACUUUUUUUUCUUGUAUAGGAUAGAAGCUAUUUUAACUGUAAGAUAUUACAGAAUAUGUCCACGCUCCAGUAGCUGAACGUCAUCACACACAUUGUUCUCCUUCAGCUUGACAACGAAAUGUAAAAUUAGUUCACACCACAAAACAAAAGGAGCAAAGCAAGUUGAGUUUUGCUGUAUAUUUAUUCUGUAACGUUACCGACUUAGAAAGUGAUAUUUCAGGUUCAUAACUUGUGGACCGGGGGGUUCAGGUGAAAGGGGAGUAAAUGGGGACAAUGGAAAAAUUAACGUUUUUAUUAAUCUAUAGAAUCACUUAAUUUAAAGAAUAUUACGUUAUAUAUCUUCUAUCUAUCUAUAGUCAUUCAAAUGAAUUACCUAAUUGUAUAAUGUAAACAAAGCUUUACAUAAUCUGUAAGAGUUACUUUGUUGAUUAGUAGCUUAUUUUUUUUGCUUGUAGCUUGUUUUUUUUUAAUAUAUAAUUAUUUUUCAAAUCUCACAGAAUUUUGGUCAAAAAAAGCACGUGCUAUAGCAUGUGCUAUAUGAGCCUUGAAUUCUCCCUCAAAGAGAAUAUUAAGGCUUUCAUAUCACAGCAUUGCUAUAUGACUGUCUCCGUGGGCAGCAUGUCUCAUAACAAGACAUGCUGCUGUGUCACAGACAGAGUGGAUUUCAUGUGGCCUAUAGCUUGAAUAGAGCAGCCACGAGUCGCCGAAAGAGAGAGAACCGAGGCAAUGUUCCGCUCUUACAAGACGGCGUCUCUUGACCGGAUUAUAUCUGUUCCCAACUCUUCGUGUGGCAGAGCUGCUUUGUGGAUUCAGAUUUUUUGCUUACGCUUUUUAAACCCAAGCAACUUCUUUAUUUAAGCUCUGAAGCAGAAAGUACACAGUUUGCUCUUUGCAAACCAACAUAUCUGCUCACAACGUUUGGCAAUCUCGGAGCAUUCUUGACCAAACCUACGCCCCAAAGGGCGUAGCAUUGGUAGGGACACGAGCAGCCCCCCACAAUAUGAACUAGGGACUUGUUGAUAUUAUGUUAAACACGCAAACUUUAUUAACAUAUAUUAACAUUUGUGUAACUUGGCACUGAUUUAAACAUAUUAACAGUGAUAAAACCUUAGUUUUAAAUACAAAAGUGUUCUGCACCAAAUAAAUAAUAAUAUAAUAAUAAUGACUAAUAAAAUACAUUGAUAAAAAACUUUCUGCUAAAAUGCCAAUAUACACUAACGAUAUAUUAUAUAUCCAAAAUAUACUAAAAAACUAGCAACUUCCCCAAACGUCCUUCAAUUUCAUUGCUAAUGCACGAAUAUUCUAAAAAAAUGAUAUGAGUAAGCCCUGAUUCCUCAACCUGCACAUCUCAAUUGGAUCUCUGAGUUUCCUGAAUUCAUUUCAAUAUAUUGCCUUAAUAAACAAAAUAACCUAAUGAGGAGUACAUGCAAUGCAUUGGAUUAUUCUGAAAUUAAUGUUUAAUAUGUAGGUGUUUGGUUCAGGUUUUAUGGCGUUGUACUUGAAAAAAUAUUGGUGGGGACAAUCGGGUCUUUGCCAAACUUUUCUCGUGACUAGUCCCUAGGGACCAUAUGCAAACCUGUCUUUCUGGGAGGUCUGCAUGUUCCCGAGCGAGCAAAAAUUAAGAGCUUGCACGAGAACGACUUUUAUUCGCAACUUUUUGAUUUUGAUGGACCUGAUUUGCUCUCUGGGAUUUUGACAAAGAUUUUCCUUCAUAGGCUUGACGUUCAAACUGUUGAACGUCAAACUAACUUAUCGAUCCAGCGCGUGGAAACAUUUGGGCUUUUGCAAACACGGAGGUGUUCUAAAUAAGUCGGUCGCUGUUUGUAGAAUAUGUAGAAGCCAAAUAAAAAACACAGAAACACGACGAAUCUUUCCGGCCAUCUACUAAGGCACCGUGGGAUUAAACAACGCCGACAGUCAGGACCUCUAGCAGCGUCACCGCUGCAGCAGCAGAAGGUAACUCCAGCUCUGCAGACACAGGCCUCGCCAGCACGAAAUUCAACAUCACAGUAACAAUUGCCAAGUUUAUCUGUAAAGACAUGCGACCCGACAAUGUGGUUGAAAAUCCGAGGUUCUGUGAAUUGAUCUAAACAUUGUGUAAUUAUUGUGUAAUGUUUACAUUGAAAAUGGCACUUGAUUCAAAUAAAAGGUUAAAACAUUUGCCAUUAAUUGUUGUUUGCUUGAUUAUAAUUAGAGAUGCUCCGAUCAGGUUUUUUGGUGCCGAUCACCGAUCACUGAAAUCAGUAUCUGCUGAUCCGAUAAUACCGAUCACCGAUCACGGUGUCGAUUUAAGCAUUCUAUUUAUUGUGUAGCAUUAUUUAUGAAAUUAAUUAUUCUUAACAUUUGUUUUGUAUUUUAAGUAUUUAAAUUAUGCGACGAGAGAGUAUCAUGAAUUGACAACCAUCCGUUUUAUUGCAGGGAACGUGCAACAUUCCAAUGUAGAAAAGCUCUCUCGCUUACUAUAAAAUGUGUAAAUAAUAAUAAAUAUUAAAACAAUAAUAAAAAGAUAAAUCUUUAUAUGAAAAUCACAACAAUAGAAUAACAUGUGCAACAUUCCACUCUCUAGAGGCUCUCAAUAGAACUUUGAGCUUAUAGGAGGAGAUAACAGACAGAAUAAAGAUUAAAGGUGCACAGGAAGUCAGCAAUUAAACAAAACAUGUAUAUCUAUCUGUAUAGUGUCUCACUCACUCACAUACUUCACUCACUCAACUCACUCGGAGAGGGGGCAUACUAGAGUAUUCAAACCUUACUUCUGAUUAAGCAGCAUCACUGGCAGAUUUGCCUUGAUAAAUAUAAGCAUCUCAGCAUUUUUAGGAGUCAACCUGUUCCUCUUCUCAUCUAAAAUAUGUCCUGCUGUGCUGAAAAGUCGCUCGCUAUCUACACUUGUACAAGGUGCGGAGAGUGUAAUGGGAAAAUGAUAUGUGACCCUUUUAAAUGCUUAAUUUGUAUAACCAGUUUAUUAGUUGCAAGUGGUUAGAUCACAAAGGCCCUGACAUAAGAACUGAUGUCUCCCACUUGGAUUAGAUGUUUCCAGCGUCAUAGCUGUAGAGAUUGAACAAAGUGUUUGUUAUGUCUAUGACCACCUUUGUUUUAGCAUGUUGGGAGAGCAAGGACACGGUCAAAGAACUGACGUGUCUUACAUGGAUAAGAUGUUCCCUGUACCCUGGCUGUAGAUACUCAACAAGAUGGUCAAAGGUUUCUUUUGACGCCACCGAUAUCUAAACUUAGGUACUUAAGAACUGCCUCGAUGUGUUGGGGGAAAAAGGAGGUUCUUGACAGUCUACUGACCACGUAGCUGUUGUGACCCUUUUUCCCUUGCAAGGAAAUAAACGGAGAAAAGACAUACUUGACUCAGAGCCUUUGUUUCUUACUUAACGAUUGUCUGUGCAAAAUCUUCCACCACAAGAGGAAGACUCGUGCUGCUUAUUAAACUGCGCAGUUAGGCUCAGCAUAGACACAGGACAGACACUCGAACUCCAAAUGUCACUCGUGAAGCUAACUGCCCUGAUGUUGUCCUUCAUUAGGCUCUCCAUGUGCGUGUAGACAUUUCGGUAUAAUUACGGCAGACAAACAUCAGUUAGGUAUUUUCGGCCCGGCAGCGUAUAGCGUGGAUCCAAGCAGGAUACAAGGCGUUUGAACCCGGCGUCUUCCACAGCAGACAGCGGCUGCUGAUCAAGGCAUGUGAAUUCCAUUACCUUUGCAUUUAAUUCCUUUCGUCUCUUGUUGUCAUUGCUGUAUGGUUGCUGUCGUUUCAAUGUCUCUGUUACGGUCAGCUGAGUGAGUGGCGUUUGGGAAGAGGUUGCACGCUCUUUGUCUUUAUCUGCCUUAACGCUCGCCAACUUCGUAAACUCCUCAAAUUCCUUGAUGUGACAAGCUUUCAAAUGCCGUAUGAGGUUCGUGGUCUUGA
ensembl:lncRNA